rnacentral:ncRNA from 1 species
AUGUCAGAGGCGCGAAAUCAAUCAGUACCGUCGGGGAGGUCUUCAGGGACCGGAGAUCCGGCAGGAAAGGUGCUUUCGCCGAAGCUGACCCGCGCCUGAGUGCGGGUCCUGCUGGGCGCUUGGGGAACACCCAUGCGACUGUCGCAACCAUUUGCGGAGUGCUGCA